AUUGCCCCAGUAACGGCGAGUGAAGCGGCAACAGCUCAAAUUUGAAAUCUGGCUUCGGCCCGAGUUGUAAUUUGUAGAGGAUGCUUUUGGCGAGGUGCCUUGUGAGUUCCCUGGAACGGGACGCCAUAGAGGGUGAGAGCCCCGUAUACUUGGACACCGAGCCUCUGUAAAGCUCCUUCGACGAGUCGAGUAGUUUGGGAAUGCUGCUCAAAAUGGGAGGUAUAUCUCUUCUAAAGCUAAAUAUUGGCCAGAGACCGAUAGCGCACAAGUAGAGUGAUCGAAAGAUGAAAAGCACUUUGAAAAGAGGGUUAAAUAGUACGUGAAAUUGUUGAAAGGGAAGCGCUUGUGACCAGACUUGUGCCGGGCUGAUCAUCCAGUGUUCUCACUGGUGCACUCUGCCCGGCUCAGGCCAGCGUCGGUUCUCGCAGGGGGACAAAAGCUUCGGGAACGUAGCUCCUCCGGGAGUGUUAUAGCCCGCUGCUCAAUACCCUUGUGGGGACCGAGGUUCGCGCUCUGCAAGGACGCUGGCAUAAUGGUCAUCAGCGGCCCGUCUUGAAACACGGACCAAGGAGUCGAGGUUUUGCGCGAGUGUUUGGGUGUAAAACCCGCACGCGUAAUGAAAGUGAACGUAGGUGAGAGCUUCGGCGCAUCAUCGACCGAUCCUGAUGUAUUCGGAUGGAUUUGAGUAAGAGCGUAUAGCCUCGGACCCGAAAGAUGGUGAACUAUGCCUGAAUAGGGUGAAGCCAGAGGAAACUCUGGUGGAGGCUCGCAGCGGUUCUGACGUGCAAAUCGAUCGUCAAAUUUGGGCAUGGGGGCGAAAGACUAAUCGAACCAUCUAGUAGCUGGUUACCGCCGAAGUUUCCCUCAGGAUAGCAGUGUUGUUCUUCAGUUUUAUGAGGUAAAGCGAAUGAUUAGGGACUCGGGGGCGCUAUUUAGCCUUCAUCCAUUCUCAAACUUUAAAUAUGUAAGAGCCCUUGUUACUUAAUUGAACGUGGGCAUUCGAAUGUACCAACACUAGUGGGCCAUUUUGGUAG
rnacentral:rRNA from 1 species